AGCGAACGCUGGCGGCAGGCUUAACACAUGCAAGUCGAGCGGGCACUUCGGUGUCAGCGGCAGACGGGUGAGCAACACGUGGGAACGUACCCUUCGGUUCGGAAUAACGCUGGGAAACUAGCGCUAAUACCGGAUACGCCCUUUUGGGGAAAGGUUUACUGCCGAAGGAUCGGCCCGCGUCUGAUUAGCUAGUUGGUGGGGUAAUGGCCUACCAAGGCGACGAUCAGUAGCUGGUCUGAGAGGAUGAUCAGCCACACUGGGACUGAGACACGGCCCAGACUCCUACGGGAGGCAGCGGUGGGGAAUAUUGGACAAUGGGCGCGAGUCUGAUCCAGCCAUGCCGCGUGAGUGAUGAAGGCCUUAGGGUUGUAAAGCUCUUUUGUCCGGGACGAUAAUGACGGUACCGGAAGAAUAAGCCCCGGCUAACUUCGUU
rnacentral:rRNA from 1 species